GUUCAAUUGAAAGAUGAAAUUGAAGAAUCUGUUGUAAAAAAUUGCCAACAACCUUUCACAAUGUGGAAAAAAUUGGAUAAAACUUUAACAAUCUUUAGAAAUCUAGCUUAUUGUUCCAAGAUUAAAAGUUUUGGAUUAGAUUGUAAAAAUGCACAAACUUUUGGAAGAAGGGACCCUCGGGAUUUAGAGGAAUUUGUGUUACAAGCUUUUUAUGAGUCCAUAGUGAAAUUGGGGGGAACAGAAAACAAAAUUGAUGUUUUUUAUUAUACAAAAGAGAAAAAGAGAGAGAG
rnacentral:misc_RNA from 1 species